GGCACAGAAAGAUGCCAUAAAAGUUAAACAAGAUCACACCUCAUAAAAUGUGGAGUUAUGACUGGAAUCCAGGCACUGCAAGGGCAACAUUAGGCUCCUUGCCACCUCAUUCUACAUCUCGUAAUCUUAUCAUAAUGCAGUUCUGACUUGGCUUAGGGAGAUUUUUGUUGCAACUUAAACAUUUCCUUAAGGACUUAAUUAGCUAAUAACAACUGAGCCACUCCUGUCUAGAGAAUCACAUCAGCAAACCCAAACUUAAAAAACUUGGGUGCCCUUGUAAAUACAAACUGGACCAGAAACAUAUAUUCAGUCAGUUAUUCACCAAACACUAGUCCAACUCUGGUUUUGACAGCCCAAAAAAAUCUGAAUAUGCGGCCCCAACCAAUCAGAAUCUCAGAUAUAUAAGAAGCAUGUGCUGCUCCAAGAUGCCUAUGUCCCUCGUGAGCAGAGCAUGCCAGCCACUGCCACAAAGCCUAAAGAUGGAUGCUAGUGACAGCCUAGCACUCUUCCCUUCACCAGGACACCCACGUUUACACAGAGAGAAGGGUCCAGUAGUAGCAGGAGAGGUGGUUACCAGGAUAUCGACCAACAAGAUUAACUUUUAUCUCAAGACAGCCUGGAUUUUAGGAGCUAAGAAGAGUCACUGAAGUAAACAUUGCUUCU